CCCUAGCCCAGAUGGAAGCGGCAUCCUUUUUUGAUCCGUUUUUCAGGAUCAAAAAGAUAGAGCGCACAGCUGGAAAUAGC
rnacentral:sRNA from 1 species